GAUGAACGCUGGCGGCGUGCCUAAUACAUGCAAGUCGAGCGAACGGACGAGAAGCUUGCUUCUCUGAUGUUAGCGGCGGACGGGUGAGUAACACGUGGAUAACCUACCUAUAAGACUGGGAUAACUUCGGGAAACCGGAGCUAAUACCGGAUAAUAUUUUGAACCGCAUGGUUCAAAAGUGAAAGACGGUCUUGCUGUCACUUAUAGAUGGAUCCGCGCUGCAUUAGCUAGUUGGUAAGGUAACGGCUUACCAAGGCAACGAUGCAUAGCCGACCUGAGAGGGUGAUCGGCCACACUAGAACUGAGACACGGUCCAGACUCCUACGGGAGGCAGCAGUAGGGAAUCUUCCGCCAUGGGCGAAAGCCUGACGGAGCAACGCCGCGUGAGUGAUGAAGGUCUUCGGAUCGUAAAACUCUGUUAUUAGGGAAGAACAUAUGUGUAAGUAACUGUGCACAUCUUGACGGUAGCUAAUCAGAAAGCCACGGCUAACUACGUG
rnacentral:rRNA from 1 species